CAGGGUGCCCAGAGAAGCUGUGGCUGCCCCGUCCCUGGCAGUGUUCAAGGCCAGGUUGGACACAGGGGCUUGGAGCAAGCUGCUCCAGUGGGAGGUGUCCCUGCCUGUGGCAGGGGUUGGGACUGGAUGGGCUUUAAGGUCCCUUCCAACCCAAACCAGUCUGGGAUUCCAUGAUGAUUCUGCAAAUUAGAGCUAAGGCAGUAUUAACCUAAUGACUCUGCUUCUCCCUAUUCAAUUUAGGGAUUUUUUUCCCCUGUUCUUACACCUGUACCUUGAUCCCUUUAGAGCGAGCUGGCUGGGUCAGAAGCCCUUAUAUCACAAAUUUCCUUCUUCCCCACCUCUGUCCUUAUCUAACCUGCUGCUGCUGCACAGCCCCAUCUAUUGCUGGAUGGCCCAGCCAGGCUGAAGGUCAGAACAGUUAGAAGCCAGGAUGCCCCUGAGCCACGUUCUGAGGUCUCCAGGGUUGCGUUGGCCUCUCCUUUGGCCAAGGAAUCAGCUUCAGGAUGCACUGGAUGCCCUGGUUGAAGGAUGGGAGUACUCUAUCUGGAAGCUCUUCUGAUAGCUGAAGCUCCCAGCUACUACAGCUGUUAGCAAAGCAAGAGGUGCCUGAUGAUGCAGGAAAAAACAACCUGUCACCCUUCAGAGCAGGAAACCCAUUCCGUCAUCCCACACCACGACUCACGUGGGAAAGAGAACUUAAAGCACAGUUACCAUGAAGGAGCAGGUUGUUACAGUGAGGAUGAGGUAUGGUCUGUGUGAGUCCUGCAGAUGGUUUUUGUAUUUAUAUUGAUGAGAGGAAAAAUUAAAAUGGGUCAAGGAAAAAAGAUUAUUGAAGAAGACAACAUCCUCUGUGUUUAAAUGUUGUAACUUUUGUCAAAUAAGAGUAAAGUCACUUAUAACAAAAUGCCUCAGCAUCACAAAACACAGCAGAAACACUCCUUUUGUUAACCAGGGUACAAGUUAUUUCAUUCCAGUGCUUCCAAAUAAACUCUGUAACCCUGCUACAGCCACACUUUUCCCAUCAACCUGACUCCUGCCACCCCUGAAUCUAAAGGCUGAGCUUUCCCAUGGCAGCUACUGCAUGUUCAAGCCUCUGGCACUCCCCUUUGGUGCCCCCCAUGAAGCCGGGCACCCCAAAUCCACCCGCCCAGCCCCUGAGGAGCACCUCACCUCGG